AGUGAACGCUGGCGGUAGGCCUAACACAUGCAAGUCGAACGGCAGCACAAGAGAGCUUGCUCUCUGGGUGGCGAGUGGCGGACGGGUGAGGAAUACAUCGGAAUCUACUCUGUCGUGGGGGAUAACGUAGGGAAACUUACGCUAAUACCGCAUACGACCUACGGGUGAAAGCAGGGGACCUUCGGGCCUUGUGCGAUUGAAUGAGCCGAUGUCGGAUUAGCUAGUUGGCGGGGUAAAGGCCCACCAAGGCGACGAUCCGUAGCUGGUCUGAGAGGAUGAUCAGCCACAUCGGGACUGAGACACGGCCCGA
rnacentral:rRNA from 1 species